AUAAACUGGCUGGAAAACUAUCUUGCUUGCUUAUGCUUUGUUAAUCUAUGAUAAGUUGCUUUGUUAUGAAUGUUCAUGGGUUUGUGGUACUAAUUUUUGUUCUUUACCUGUACUUGUAAUGUUGUUUCUUAUAAGGCAUUGAAAAACACACCAUUCACUAACCAUUCACUACAAUAAAACUAAAACACAAACACAUUGUAAUUUAAUACUGCAUGAAAGAUUUUGCUGGGAUAUAUAUUGAAUGAAAUGAAGAAUACAUUGUGGGGAUUGGAGCAUCCACCAACUAUGUGUCUCUGUUGAGGCUUAUGUGUGGUGGGCUGCAGCAUUAUUUCUUCUAACAUAAACUAUGGGGUAUGUGUGAAUUUGUGUAAGGGUUGUGUGUGUGAUGGUUAGAGCAUUGUUCUUUUAUCUAUCAAUUGCCAGGGAUAUUUCUCAGGAACUAAAAAGCAGGAGUAUAACUGCAACAUUUUAAAACCUAUUUUUAAUGAUGGUUCUUAAGUAUUUUAACUUUCCUGUCAGCCAUUUUUACCAGAGGUAGUGGGAAAGAAAGGAUAUGGGGGAGUGGACUUGUUUAGAAAUGGUUCUUUAGAGCAACUCCCAUCUGUUUUUUUCAGAUGGAAAAUCGGCAGUUCAGUUCACAGGUCAGCAUGCUUGUAUGCAUACAUGUAUGCAUGUAUGUAUGUAUAUAUGCAUGUAUGUAUGUAUAUAUGUAUAUGUGCAUAGUUUGCAUGAAUGAGGGUUGGAGCUUCCACCCUCAUUCACCACAUAUGUGUAUGUGUAAUGUUUGUGUCUAUGGUAGUCUGGAACAUUGUUCCUUUCACCCAUCAACAAUGUGUAUGUAUGUAGGUAUAUGUGUAAAGCUUGUUGCCAUUCUGGGUAUGUGUUGCUUUCUCAGGCCACCUAUUGUGUGUACUUAUGCAUCCAGGUAUGAAAUAUUUGAAGCCUGCUUGCUGGAGGUCUGUGUUAACUAAUCUAUGUGUGAAUGUACAUAUAUCUGUCUAUAGGUCUCUAUGCAUAUACGUCUGUGUGUUUGUAUGCAUAUAUUUGUGUAUAUGAAAUUACUGGACAUUGUCUUUUGUUUCAUCCAUGCAGUGCGUGUGUUCGUGCCUCUGUGUGUUCGUGUGUGUAUUUGUGUUUGUAUGUGUGUGUGUGUUUGUGUGUGGAAAGAGAGAGAGAGAGACAGAGAGAGAGAGAGAGAAUGUUCUCUCAUUCCUUCUCUUUCUUGCUGGCCCCAAGGAGUUAGAAAAAGUUCAUAGAUUUUCCAGUACGCUCAGGGAGUUCCAGCCCCAGUAAUUUAAAUGUUGUUCCCUCAUAAAAAGGUCUGCCGAGUAACCUCUCUGAUUUCUGGUUUCCUUUGGCAGCAGCAUCUUCAGGUAUCUGGAUCCAACCAUCAGGAUCUCUGAGCACUGACCCUCAAUGGCUGCCUGCCUCAGUUUGCACACCAGAUGGAUGCCAAUGCUGGUCUCUGUCAGGAAAAUACACAGAUUUCCUAAUGGUGCUUUCAACAUUAGUUCCUAUUAGAGUAGGUAACUGAAGAGGUAUCAGAGAUAACUUUUAUGUUUCUUUAACAUGAUAGAUGUCCCUCAUAUUUUUCUAAAUUUAGAAAUAUCUUGAACAUUGUGCCAUGUAAAGUAUUGAUUAUUGUUCAUGUGCAUGUUUUAACUUUUGCAAUAUAUUUAUUGACUUUUAAAGCUUCUAAUUUCAACACUAAUUUCCAAAUGGCAACAGAAGAAAAGUAAAACAACAUUAGGGGCAGAAGAAUAAUUUGGAUCAUGUGCGUUGGAAUAGAGGUACUGAACAGAACCACUCGAGUGGGAUGGGCCCAGGUCACCAUCAAGGAGACUAAAGCUGGGGUAGGAAGAACAUGAGACGGUCUCAGAGAUGCCUGAAGCCUUGGAGGAGCUGAAUGGUAGAGUUUCUUUGUAUCUUCCAGAGGAGAAGAAAACACCAUCCAGAAUCCUUGUGACAAGCACUCACUAGCGAUUGAGCAAGUGUCAUGUUACCUGUCAUCUGAAAGGCAGCAGAGAAGCAUCAUCAUUGUGUCCCCACUCUAAAAACAAAAUGCAAAUCUCUGGGCAUGCUGGUGGCAUCCCACACUCCCCCUGACCUGCUGGCUCAUCCUGCUGCAUAGGACAUCACCCGCACUUGGAACUCCUCGGUCUCCACCAAUGGUUCUUCAAGUCUCAAGUCAUGUACAUUUUCAGAUCAUUGAACUACUCUGCAGGAUACUGGUGCUACUAAGACUGGAGAUGUUAAGACAUGUGCACAUCCA